rnacentral:rRNA from 1 species
UACGGAGGAUCCAAGCGUUUAUCCGGAUUUAUUGGGUUUAAAGGGUGCGUAGGCGGCUUAUUAAGUCAGAGGUGAAAGACGGUGGCUCAACCAUCGCAGUGCCUUUGAUACUGAUGAGCUUGAAUGAACCUGAGGUAGGCGGAAUGUGACAAGUAGCGGUGAAAUGCAUAGAUAUGUCACAGAACACCAAUUGCGAAGGCAGCUUACUAAAGUUUAAUUGACGCUGAGGCACGAAAGCGUGGGGAUCAAACAGGAUUAG